UUAACGCCCUUCUUGGUCAUUUAGAGGAAGUAAAAGUCGUAACAAGGUUUCCGUAGGUGAACCUGCGGAAGGAUCAUUACAGAAAGUAAACGCGGAUCAAACCGCGAACUUCUAAACCUUUGACGAUUGACUCAUGUUGCCUCGGCGGGUUCUCCCGCCAGAGGAUACAUCAAAACUCCUGUUUUAACGGUGUUGUCUGAGCUACAAGCAACGAAUUAAAACUUUCAACAACGGAUCUCUUGGUUCUGGCAUCGAUGAAGAACGCAGCGAAAUGCGAUAAGUAGUGUGAAUUGCAGAAUUCAGUGAAUCAUCGAAUCUUUGAACGCACAUUGCGCCCCUUGGUAUCCCGAGGGGCAUGCCUGUUCGAGCGUCAUUUCACCACUCAAGCCUGGCUUGGUGUUGGGCGACGUCCCCUUUGGGGACGCGCCUCGAAACGCUCGGCGGCGUGGCACCGGCUUUAAGCGUAGCAGAAUCUUUCGCUUUAAAAGUCGGGGCCCCGUCUGCCGGAAGACCUACUCGCAAGGUUGACCUCGGAUCAGGCAGGGAUACCCGCUGAACUUAAGCAUAUCAAUAAGCGGAGGAAAAGAAACCAACAGGGAUUGCCUCAGUAACGGCGAGUGAAGCGGCAACAGCUCAAAUUUGAAAUCUGGCUCUUUUAGGGUCCGAGUUGUAAUUUGUAGAGGAUGCUUCGGCGUCGGCUCCGGUCUAAGUUCCUUGGAACAGGACGUCAUA
rnacentral:rRNA from 1 species